rnacentral:rRNA from 1 species
UACGUAGGGUGCAAGCGUUGUCCGGAGUUAUUGGGCGUAAAGAGCUUGUAGGCGGUUUGGCGCGUCUGCUGUGAAAUUUCGGGGCUCAACCCCGAACUUGCAGUGGGUACGGGCAGACUAGAGUGUGGUAGGGGAGACUGGAAUUCCUGGUGUAGCGGUGAAAUGCGCAGAUAUCAGGAGGAACACCGAUGGCGAAGGCAGGUCUCUGGGCCAUAACUGACGCUGAGAAGCGAAAGCAUGGGGAGCGAACAGG